GAUCGCGCUGUACCCACGCUUCGGAGGGGACGCCCGGCCCCGUCCUACAGCUCAGAGGCAGAACGACCCCCGAGGGCGCUUCAGGCGACUCCCUCUGCCAGGUUCCAUUUAAAACAAAACCGAAGGUGGAAAGCUCACUGAUCUUCCGGAUGGAGGUUCCUACCGCCAUGUCCCUUCCUCCCCCGCCCCACCGGGCAAGGACCCCGGGGCUGCCUCGCCGGCUCAUGCCGCCCCGCAGGUAACUGUGUCCUCCCAGAAACCUAUGGAGAGCUGAAGGGGUUUUAGGAUUGUGGAAUCCACCCUCCUCCUUUGGUAAAAGAGGACAAAGGCCAGAGAGCAGUGUGCUGGCUGAGGCAUGCGACUGUAAACCAAAAGCUCAGUUUCCAUUUGGAAUGGCUUCCGGAAGGCUGGAAUUGAAAUCCACCAGUGCCCAUUUCAAGGUGCUCCCAACACAGCCUGGAAAAAAGGAGCCCAGAUACGCUUCCCUGUGGACGCAGGUCAGUCAUCAGGAUGCACAGAAACAGCGUUGCCCUCGGCCUGGAGCCAUUGUCCUGAAAGGGGAUCCUUCCCAACUGGGGCCUGAGACUGAUCCCUGAGAAGUGGCCCCUCCAUCCUGGAACCCCUCCUGCUUGUGUCUCCUUACUUCCUGGUGAUCACCGCAUUCAGGCUCAGAAUGCCGCAGGCCUAUCCCACUGGAAGCUGCCAAGGUGCCCAGCGCCCUGUUGCACUCUUGUCCCACAGGACGCCAGGCACAGCAGCAGCAUCAAGGGACCAGCAGGGAAGAGGCUGCAGUGAUUUGGGGAAACAGUGUGAAAAUCACCUGGGGCCUGGCGACACGGGGUCCCGCCUCCUCCCCCAUAUUAGGUCCCAGAGAAAAUGACAAUAUGAACAGCUCAUGUCACCAUUAUUAGGCAGAGUCUUUAUUCUUUCCUUAACCUUUGCCAUUAAAUUGAGCUCUAUAGGCCCAUUUUCUGCUUUUAAUGCCAAUAAAUGAAAUUCCAGAGCUGCUUCUGU